rnacentral:rRNA from 1 species
GUUACUGCCUGCAACGACUGCGAUGAUGAGGAUGGAGAGGGUGGAGACAGCGACUCCAGCUCAGACAGCUCUAGCAGUUCAAGCAGUUCCAGCUCAAGCAGCUCUAGCGAUAGCUCCAGCUCAAGCUCCAGCUCCAGCUCAAGCGACAGCUCGAGCUCCAGCGACAGUUCAAGCUCAAGCGAGAAGGAAGUUAAGGAGACUGAGGAAACCACAACAGAAGAAG